AUUUGAAGGGAGCUGUUCCUAGUACGAGAGGACCGGAAUGGACAAACCUCUAGUGUGCUGGUUGUGAUGCCAAUUGCAUUGCCAGGUAGCUAUGUUUGGAAAGGAUAACCGCUGAAAGCAUCUAAGCGGGAAGCCAACCCUGAAACAAGAUAUCUCUUCUCCCCUCGGGGAGACUGAAGACUCCUUGAAGAUUACAAGGUUGAUAGGCCAGAUGUGUAAGCACAGCAAUGUGUUCAGCUAACUGGUACUAAUAAGUCGUGAGGCUUGACCUUAU
rnacentral:rRNA from 1 species